rnacentral:tRNA from 4 species
CGGGGUAUAGCUCAGCUGGAUAGAGCAGUGGACUUCUAAUCCACAGGUCGACGGGUUCGAAUCCCUCUACCUCGACCA